AGGCCUGGAAAAAACUCAGCAGCYAGCUUAAAAAUGACAAUGUCGUGACACCUAGUGGAAAAACAGGUGUCUGACGUCUGGGUCCAUAUCGAUGUCUAGCUCCAUCUGUUGUAUUGUUUCUUCUCUUUUCUUU